CAACAAUUUUGGAGCAGGGUAGAUUACAGCAUCAGAACCAGGGUUGUAGAAUGAGGCUAUGGACAUUCUUGUUCCAUUAGUUUGUGCUAUCACACGGUGCUCCACACUCUUGUAUUUACCAUUUGUUAUAACCUGUUUUUGAGAAAUAAGAUGAAACGUUGCAGAGGACCAAAACGAUUGUAUAGAUCCUCUGCCAAAGUUGCAGAGGACCAAAAAGACUAAUAUGGGAAUUGAAAUGAGUUGACUUGACAAAGGAAAUGGAUUUACCUCGAGCUGAUCACCGAGGUUGACUACAAUGGAGUGGCGCAUUGGGGGAACAUCAACCCACUCGCCGUCUUUGAGAAGCUGUAGGCCACUGACCUUGUCGUCUUGGAAGAGAAGGAUGAUCCCGCCAGCAUCGGUGUGAGCGCGAAGACCCUUCACCAACUCUGGAUUGGGGCACUGAGGGUAGUUGGCUACCUUGGUUCCAAAAGUUGG